UACGUAGGGUGCAAGCGUUAAUCGGAAUUACUGGGCGUAAAGCGUGCGCAGGCGGUUGUGCAAGACAGAUGUGAAAUCCCCGGGCUCAACCUGGGAAUUGCAUUUGUCGACUGUACGGCUAGAGUGUGUCAGAGGGGGGUAGAAUUCCACGUGUAGCAGUGAAAUGCGUAGAGAUGUGGAGGAAUACCGAUGGCGAAGGCAGCCCCCUGGGAUAACACUGACGCCUCAUGCACGAAAGCGUGGGGAGCAAACAGG
rnacentral:rRNA from 1 species